GGUUUCUCAUAGUCAUUCACAUUGACGUCCCACUGGGGUGAGUUUUCCCUUGCCCUUAUGUGGGCUUUGUACCGAGGAUGUCGUUGUGGCUUGUGCAGCCCUUUGAGACACUUGUGAUUUAGGGCUAUAUAAAUAAACAUUGCUUGAUUGAUUGAUUGAAACACUUGCAGGAAGCGACGGCGAAGAAGGGCAAAGGGAGGUGUACAAAGGAAUAGGACAGUGAUAUGAGUGACCAGGAAGCGACGGCGAAGAAGGGCAAAGGGAGGUGUACAAAGGGAAUGGACAGUGAGAUGAGUGACCAGGAAGUGAAGAAGAAGAAAACAGGGAAAGGGAAAAGAACCAAGCAAACGCCAG